AGACGAAGGUGGCAACCGUUGUUCGGAAUUACUGGGCAUAAAGCGCACGUAGGCGGGAAAGCAAGUCGGGUGUGAAAUCCCUCGGCCCAACCGAAGAACUGCGCCCGAAACUGCUUUUCUUGAGGACAGAAGGGGAGCAUGGAAUUCCUGGUGGAGCGGUGAAAUGCGUUGAUAUCAGGAGGAACACCGGCGGCGAAGGCGAUGCUCUGGUCUGUUUCUGACGCUAAGGUGCGAAAGCCAGGGGAGCAAACGGGAUUAGAAACCCCAGUAGUCC
rnacentral:rRNA from 1 species